UGGACAAUGGGCGCAAGCCUGAAUCCAGCCAUGCCGCGAUGCAGGAUGAAGGCCUUCGGGUUGUAAACUGCUUUUGUACGGAACGAAACGGCCUUUUCUAAUAAAGANGGCUAAUGACGGUACCGUAAGAAUAAGCACCGGCUAACUACGUGCCAGCAGCCGCGGUAAUACGUAGGGUGCAAGCGUUAAUCGGAAUUCUGGGCGUAAAGCGUGCGCAGGCGGUUAUGUAAGACAGUUGUGAAAUCCCCGGGCUCAACCUGGGAACUGCAUCUGUGACUGCAUAGCUAGAGUACGGUAGAGGGGGAUGGAAUUCCGCGUGUAGCAGUGAAAUGCGUAGAUAUGCGGAGGAACACCGAUGGCGAAGGCAAUCCCCUGGACCUGUACUGACGCUCAUGCACAAAACCGUGGGGAGCAAACAGGAUUAAAUACCCUGGUAGUCCACCCCCCUAAACGAUGUCAACUGGUUGUUUGGGAAAUUCACCUUUCUCAGUAACGAAAGCUAACNCGUGAAGUUUGAACCCCCUGGGG
rnacentral:rRNA from 1 species